GGUUUGCUAAUUCCACUGGGCAUAAAUUUCUCAUACCCUGGCUUCUUGUUUCUAAAAUCCCUAGGUUGCUUGUGAUUUUUUGAAACAAGUAACUAAAAAGUAGUUUCGUUCUCUUGCUCGAAAAAAGAUUAAGCGAUUAGUCUCUCCCCGUAAAUCGAAUCUUGUCGAGUCAUUGUUACCUUUCUACCUCCUUAGUGGGGCGUUUCUCUUCCCAAUAUUCUCUCCUAUAUAGAGUGGAUUGGAUUUUCAAGGUUUGUCGGCAUUGCAAGGAUAUUCCUCCCGGCCUAUGCUCUUUGCUGCCUUUGUUGUAGUGGUUGUAACCUCUAGAGUUGCUUUGGAUACGAUCUUUCAAGAUUCUUUUGAAAUCGUUGUCUUGCGAUUUCUUAUGAUUUCCCGGUAUGAUUUGUAUUGUUUAUCUAUCUCUCUUUUAACCAUCGUUUGGUGGUCUUUUGGGCAUUGUUGCCAUGCUUUCGUUUAAUUACC